UACCAGCACUCCGAGUGGUCGGGACGAUUAUUGGGCCUAAAGCAUCCGUAGCCGGUUUUACAAGUCCUCCGUUAAAUCCAGCUGCUUAACAGAUGGGCUGCGGAGGAUACUAUAAGACUAGGAGGCAGGAGAGGCAAGCGGUACUCAGUGGGUAGGGGUAAAAUCCGUUGAUCCAUUGAAGACCACCAGUGGCGAAGGCGGCUUGCCAGAAUGCGCUCGACGGUGAGGGAUGAAAGCUGGGGGAGCAAACCGG
rnacentral:rRNA from 1 species